GAUGAACGCUGGCGGCGUGCCUAAUACAUGCAAGUCGAGCGAACAGACGAGGAUCUUGCUCCUCUCACGUUAGCGGCGGACGUGUGAGUAACACGUGUAUAACCUACCUAUAAGACUGGGAUAACUACGGGAAACCGGCGCUUAUACCGUAUAAUAUAUUGAACCGCAUGGUUCAAUAGUGAAUGACGGUUUUGCUGUCACUAAUAGAUGGUUCUGCGCCGCAUUAGCUAGUUGUUAAGUUAACGGCUUACCACGGCUACGAUGCGUAGCCGACCUGAGAGAGUGGUCGGCCGCACUAGAGGUGAGACACGGUCCAGACUCCUGCGGGAGGGAGCAGUAGGGAAUCUUACGCAGUGGGCGAGAGCAUGACGGAGCGACGCCGCGUGAGUGAUGGAGGUCUUCGGAUCGUGAAACUCUGUUAUGAGGGAAGAACAGAUGUGUAAGUAACUGUGCCCGUAUUGACGGUACCUGGUCAGAAAGCAACGGCUAACUACGUG
rnacentral:rRNA from 1 species